rnacentral:sRNA from 1 species
CGACGGCUAGAGGAGAGAAAAGGAAGAAGGAGACCUGACCAGUGGGCCCAGCCUAUUUAUUAUUAUUAUUUUUGGAUGAAACUGCCACGUAAUCGCCACGUAGUAUGAACACCUAGUCAAAGGAGCCACGUAGGCGCCAAGUCAGCCAAAACCGGUAACAAUACCACCGAGGGAUCUAUUUUGCACCAGUUUUUGGGUUGAGGGAUGAUUUUGUAAUUCGGUGACAAGAUGGAGGACCUCCGGUGUACUUUUUUCCAAGAAAGACCAUAUGUCCUCAAAACCCUUAACAGGCCGGACAAACAGAAGGCC